GCGGCUGUGGCGGAAUGGCAGACGCGCUGGCUUCAGGUGCCAGUGGUGGCAACAUCGUGGAGGUUCAAGUCCUCUCAGCCGCA
rnacentral:tRNA from 1 species